CCUAUUUUCAGUGUAAUAUAUAGAACUUAGUAGUCUAAUAAUUGAAAAUUUUAAAUUAUUCACUAUCAUGCCAAAUUUACAGUAAACACAAUUGACCUAUAUACAUGCUCCUAACCAAUCACUUGUAUUUCUAUAAGCUCAAGCACACUUUCGACAAGAAAAAUAAAAAAAAAAGAUAAGAAAAUAAAAAUUAAACUUCCUAUGUUACCCCC
rnacentral:lncRNA from 1 species